GACGAACGCUGGCGGCGUGCCUAAUACAUGCAAGUCGAGCGGACGGAUGGGAGCUUGCUCCCAGACCGUCAGCGGCGGACGGGUGAGUAACACGUGGGCAACCUGCCUGUAAGACUGGGAUAACUCCGGGAAACCGGGGCUAAUACCGGAUAACUCUUUCCCUCACAUGAGGGUAAGCUGAAAGAUGGCAUCUCGCUAUCACUUACAGAUGGGCCCGCGGCGCAUUAGCUAGUUGGUGAGGUAACGGCUCACCAAGGCGACGAUGCGUAGCCGACCUGAGAGGGUGAUCGGCCACACUGGGACUGAGACACGGCCCAGACUCCUACGGGAGGCAGCAGUAGGGAAUCUUCCGCAAUGGACGAAAGUCUGACGGAGCAACGCCGCGUGAGUGAUGAAGGUUUUCGGAUCGUAAAACUCUGUUGUCAGGGAAGAACAAGUACCGGAGUAACUGCCGGUACCUUGACGGUACCUGACCAGAAAGCCACGGCUAACUACGUG
rnacentral:rRNA from 1 species